GAGGCUUCCAGCGUCGGUACCAUGGCGACGCGCGGUGGGGCUGGGGUGGCAAUGGCGGUUUGGUCCCUCUUAUCCGCCCGGGCCGUGACCGCGUUCCUUCUGUUGUUCCUCCCUCGCUUCUUACAGGCCCAGACCUUCUCUUUCCCUUUCCAGCAGCCGGAGAAGUGCGACAACAACCAGUACUUUGAUAUCUCCGCCCUCUCGUGUGUUCCUUGUGGAGCUAACCAGAGGCAAGAUGCCCGAGGAACUUCAUGUGUAUGUCUACCAGGAUUUCAGAUGAUCUCUAAUAAUGGAGGACCUGCUAUUAUUUGUAAAAAGUGCCCAGAAAACAUGAAAGGUGUUACAGAAGAUGGCUGGAACUGCAUUUCUUGCCCUAGUGACUUAACUGCCGAAGGAAAAUGUCACUGUCCCAUUGGCCAUAUUUUAGUGGAAAGAGACAUUAAUGGAACAUUGUUGUCUCAAGCAACUUGUGAGCUCUGUGAUGGAAAUGAAAACUCUUUUAUGGUAGUAAAUGCUUUAGGAGACAGGUGCGUCCGAUGUGAGCCAACAUUUGUUAAUACCAGCAGGUCCUGUGCAUGUUCAGAACCUAACAUUUUAACAGGGGGAUUAUGUUUCAGCAGCACAGGGAAUUUUCCUCUACGUAGAAUUUCAGCUGCACGUUAUGGAGAAGUUGGCAUGUCUUUAACUUCAGAAUGGUUUGCAAAGUAUUUGCAAUCAUCAGCAGCUGCAUGUUGGGUAUAUGCCAAUCUAACAUCUUGUCAAGCUCUUGGAAAUAUGUGUGUGAUGAACAUGAAUUCUUACGACUUUGCCACAUUUGAUGCAUGUGGACUAUUUCAGUUUAUCUUUGAAAAUACUGCUGGACUGAGCACUGUUCAUUCUAUUUCAUUUUGGAGACAGAAUCUUCCUUGGCUGUUUUAUGGAGACCAGUUAGGAUUAGCACCUCAAGUGCUCAGUUCUACCUCUCUUCCUACAAAUUUCAGUUUUAAAGGAGAAAACCAGAAUACAAAACUGAAGUUUGUUGCUGCUUCCUAUGAUAUAAGAGGAAAUUUUCUCAAGUGGCAAACUUUAGAAGGAGGUGUUUUACAGCUUUGUCCAGACACAGAGACAAGGCUAAAUGCUGCUUAUUCAUUUGGAACAACCUACCAACAAAAUUGUGAGAUUCCUAUCUCUAAGAUCUUAAUUGACUUUCCCACUCCUAUAUUUUAUGAUGUGUACCUUGAAUAUACUGAUGAAAAUCAACAUCAAUAUAUUUUGGCUGUGCCUGUGUUAAACCUAAAUCUUCAACAUAAUAAGAUAUUUGUGAACCAAGACAGCAACUCUGGAAAGUGGCUUCUAACUCGGCGCAUUUUCUUAGUGGAUGCAGUAAGUGGACGAGAAAAUGACUUAGGAACUCAGCCAAGAGUAAUUCGAGUUGCUACUCAAAUAUCACUGAGUGUCCACCUUGUACCCAACACAAUAAAUGGAAACAUCUACCCUCCCUUAAUCACCAUUGCCUACAGUGACAUUGAUAUCAAAGAUGCCAACAGCCAGUCUGUGAAGGUUUCUUUCUCAGUCACAUAUGAAAUGGAUCAUGGAGAAGCACAUGUCCAGACAGAUAUUGCUUUGGGUGUAUUGGGUGGGCUAGCUGUUUUAGCAUCUCUUUUGAAGACAGCAGGAUGGAAGAGGCGCAUUGGGAGUCCCAUGAUUGAUUUACAGACAGUUGUGAAAUUCUUGGUGUACUAUGCUGGUGAUCUGGCCAAUGUUUUCUUUAUCAUCACAGUGGGAACAGGUCUUUACUGGCUUAUUUUCUUCAAAGCACAGAAGUCUGUGUCUGUUUUGCUGCCAAUGCCAAUUCAGGAAGAACGUUUUGUCACUUAUGUUGGAUGUGCCUUUGCUCUGAAGGCACUACAAUUUUUGCAUAAGCUCAUAUCCCAGAUUACAAUAGAUGUAUUCUUUAUUGAUUGGGAGCGACCUAAAGGAAAGGUUCUUAAAGCUGUUGAAGGUGAGGGUGGUGUACGAAGUGCCACUGUUCCUGUAAGCAUAUGGAGAACAUAUUUUGUAGCAAAUGAAUGGAAUGAAAUUCAGACUGUGAGAAAAAUUAAUUCACUCUUUCAAGUACUUACUGUCCUCUUCUUUUUGGAGGUUGUGGGAUUCAAGAACUUAGCAUUAAUGGACUCAUCUUCUAGUCUUUCUAGAAACCCACCUAGCUACAUAGCUCCUUAUAGCUGCAUUUUGAGAUAUGCAGUGUCUGCUGCUCUUUGGCUAGCCAUUGGAAUUAUACAGGUCGUGUUCUUUGCUGUCUUUUAUGAGAGAUUUAUAGAAGAUAAAAUUCGACAGUUCGUUGAUUUAUGCUCUAUGAGUAAUAUAUCAGUGUUUCUGUUAUCCCACAAAUGUUUUGGAUAUUACAUUCAUGGUAGAUCAGUACAUGGGCAUGCAGAUACUAAUAUGGAAGAAAUGAAUAUGAACCUUAAAAGAGAAGCGGAAAAUUUGUGUAGCCAGAGAGGUUUGGUACCCAACACAGAUGGUCAGACUUUUGAGAUUGCAAUUUCUAACCAGAUGAGACAACAUUAUGACAGAAUUCAUGAGACACUAAUAAGGAAAAAUGGUCCUGCUAGACUACUGAGUUCAUCAGCAAGUACUUUUGAGCAGAGUAUAAAAGCAUAUCAUAUGAUGAAUAAAUUUCUUGGCUCCUUCAUUGACCAUGUUCAUAAGGAAAUGGAUUACUUUAUAAAAGAUAAGUUGCUUCUUGAAAGAAUUCUUGGAAUGGAAUUCAUGGAACCAAUGGAAAAAAGCAUCUUUUACAAUGAUGAAGGUUAUUCUUUCAGCAGUGUCCUGUAUUAUGGAAAUGAAGCUACUCUUCUUAUUUUUGAUCUGCUGUUCUUCUGUGUUGUGGAUUUGGCUUGCCAAAAUUUUAUUUUAGCAUCCUUCCUUACAUAUCUACAACAAGAGAUUUUUAGAUAUAUCCGUAAUACAGUAGGACAAAAGAAUUUGGCAUCCAAAACAUUGGUGGAUCAAAGAUUUUUGAUUUAACUUCCUGAAUAAAUAACUUAAAGACUCAGUAUAAUCAUGGCCAAAAAAAAGUCAUGAUAUCAGAAACUCCAGUAAGCACCCAGGCUCUGCCCUGGCUCCUGGUGCUCCUGCCUCCUGACUGGUGCUUUCCCCCAUGGCUGUGCAUGGUGUGCCGUGCCAUCUGUUUCUAGGACCUGUGAGUGUAAGAAACUUUCCUGUCUCCCCUUGUCAUUCCUCACUCAUCACUACAUAAAAGGACACAGAACAGUAUGUUUGGGGGCUUUGGAGGGCAAUGAGGUUGGAAAGGAAAACAGGAGUCACAUCAUUAAAGGUUUUUAUGUUGGGCCACAUCUCCAUCACGUGCAUGGAGUGUUUAACCAAGUUGGAGAUAAGUGUUCCUGCUCUCUGUUCCUUGGCUGCAUGUUGUGGUUUGCAAGAAAAUACAUUGCCCCACUGCCCAUAAGAGAGGCACCAAGGGUAGUAGUUGAGAGCACAGACCCUGGAGCCAGAUUGGCCUGUGUUCAAGUCCCGGCUGCACCACUUACUGGCUGUGCAAUUUGGGCAAGUCAUGAUUAAAUUGUCUCAUCUGUAAAAGAGAUAAAUAGUACCUACCUCAAAGACUUAUUGGGAAGAUUAAAUGAGUUAUUGUGUACAGUGCUUAGAAAAGUGCCUGGCACAUAGUAAAUGCUAUGUGAAUAUAAGCUGUGUAGUAGUAGUAAUAGUAGUAGUAGUUCCCAUUAAUAUUUAGUGCAGAAAGAGAGACCCAGAUUAGACCCACUAGAGACUACAUUAAGACACUGUCUCAUUGCUGGGUGUGCUAGAAGUAGCAAUAGACAAACUGCCUGCCACACAGUUGUCUAUGGGUUUUAAAAAAUAACUGCUUCUGUUAUUUUUAUAAUAAUCAUUGCUUCCAUUGUAAUUAUUAUUGUUACAAGGAAUACAUGGCUGUGGCCCAAGGAUAAAUAAAUAAUCACAGAUGAUCAGUAGAAUGAAGUCCAGGGACAAGUCCACGGGUGUGUGGAUAUGUAUAUACACACACAUGACAAGGGUAGCAUGCAGUGCAGUAAGGGAAAGGUGUUUUUUAGAUGUGCCAUUGAAUAUCCCAGUGGAAAAAAUGCAUACCUCUAUGUCACACUUACACAAAAAUCAAUUUCAGGUAGAUGCUAAAUUUAAAUGUGAAAGGGUAAAUGGUAAAGUUUCUAGAAGAUAAAAGGGGAAUAUAUUCAUGACUUUCAUGUAGGUCUUUUAGUUUUUUAUUUUGUUUUGAGACAGGGUCACUCUCUGUUGCCCAGGUUUGAGUGCAGUGGCACAAUCAUGGCUCACUGUAGACUCGACCUCCCAGGCUCAAACGAUCCUCCCACCUCAGCCUCCAGAGUAGUUGGGAUUACAGGCACAUGCCUCCAUGCUUGGAUAAUUUUAAAUUUUUUUGUAGAGACAGAGUCUCAUUAUGUUGCCCAGGCUGGACUCAGAGACUCCUAGCCUCAAGCGAUCCUCCACCCUCAUUCUCCCAAAGCACUAGGAUUACACACCUGUGUGUGAGCCACUGCACCUAGCCUGCCAAGAUUUCUUAAGACCCCAAAAAGCCUAGGCAUGGUGACUCAUGCCUGUAAUCCCAGCACCUUGGGAGGCCAAGGCGGGUGGAUCACUUGAUCUCAGGAGUUCAAGACAAGCCUGGGCAACAUGGUGAAACCCUGUCUCUACCAAAAAUACAAAAAAUUAGCCAGGUAUGGUGGCAUGUGCCUGUAGUCCCAGCUACUCAGGAAGGAGGAUCACUUGAGCCCAGGGAGGUGGAAAUUGUAGUAAACCAAGAUCACACCAUUGAACUCCAGCCUGCCUGGGUGACACAGUGAGACCCUGUCUGUCUCAAAAUAAGACCCAAAAAAGAUGAACCAUAAAAUAAAAGAUUGGUAAAUUGGACUUUACAAUUUGUGGUAAAUUUAUACUUUUGUAAAUUUAUAUGUGUAAAUUUGGAAUUUACAUUAAAAUCAGGAACACUGUACAUCAGAAGACCCCAUUAUAAGAAUGAAAAGGCAAACCUCAAUCUGAGAAAAAAAAUUGCAAACAGAUUAGACAAAGCACUCCUGUCCUGAAUAAAGAACUCAUCACAUCAAUAAGGAAGACAGGCAACACAAUAGAAAAAUGAGCAAGGCUCAAGUAGCCAUCCCUCAAAAGAAGGUUUCCAAAUGACCAAUAAACACCUGUGAAAAGUGCUCAACCUUGUUAGUCAUAAGAAUGCAAAAUAAAACCGUGUGAUACCACUACAAAACCAACAAAAUGGCUAAAAGUUAAAAACUUAAAAUACCAUGUGUGGGCAAGAAUGUGUGAAGCAAAAGAACUUUCAUACUGUUUACUAUGUAAAGUGAGGGGAUUCGCGUUAAUCUGUAACUUUUGGUUGGACUAUCCUGAAUCUUAAAGACAGGAAGACUCAAGUUUGUAUUUGACCAAACCCAUGGCUGACAGCAGAUGGCAGUGGAGUGCACAGUAACCUUUUCAGGACCAGGCUGGGGCCCUUCUGACUGUAGCUCAAAGGUAGGUGUGCUCACAGGACGGCGGAGGCAAGAGGAACGCCAUUCUCCCCAUCUUCCACUUCACUCUUUGUCCCCCUCCUAACUUCUGUCGUCUCUCCCUUUACUGCAUCAGAGUGCUGGGCAGCUCAGAUGACUACAGUGCAUUCUAAAUCUAGUGCUGAGUUUUUAAAACCCAGGUUAGGGAAUUGAAUGCUAAAAUAAAGAUGAUAUACUUUCAUCCAUCUCCUAGGGAAUGGGAUCACAAAACAGGUCAUGCUUCAGAAAAAAUUUAAGAACGAAUUAUCUAAUGAUUCAGGAAUCUUCCUUCAUUUUAAUGAAAUACAUAUUACAUUAAAAUCUCUUUAAAAAUCAAACUCUUAUCUAAAGUAUAUAAUGCCCUUUAUCUAUAUACAAUUUCCCCAAAUGGGACACUAGGUGCUAAGGAUAUGGAGGUAGAUAAGACAUUGCCUCUACUUUUACAGAGCUUAUAGUUAAAAGACAGAACAACAAAUCAAUAAAAGCAUAGUAAGUACUGUGUUCUUAUCCUAUUGCUUCUGUAACAAAUUACCAAAAUUGAGUGGCUUUAAGCAACAUAAAAGUAUCAUCUUACAAUUCUGGGUGGCAGAAGUCUGAAAUGGGUUUCACUGCACUGAAAUCAACUUGUCAGCCUGGCUGGGUUUCUUCUGGAGGCUCUAAGGAAGACCCCCUCUUUGACUUGGAAGGACUUCUGUGAUUACAUUGGGCCCACUGGAUAAUUCAGGAUAAUUUUCCCCAUUUCAAGAUCCUUAGCUUAAUCACAUUGGUGAAGUCCCCUUUGCAGUGUAAAGUAACAUAUUUAUAGGCUCUGGGGAUUAGGACCUGGAUUUUUUUUUUUUGUGUGGGUGGGUAGGGGUGUGUGGGGGCGUUAUUUUGCCUAAUAUAGAACACUAUCUAUCUGUAGGGUACAAGAACAUAAAACUAGCAUACUUAACGAUAGUUUGGGUAGUCUGCAAAGGCCUGUGAAAGGGAUACUUUAACUGAGACAAAGCAAGAGCAGAAGCUGGCCAGGACUAUAGGAUGGUAAUGAGGCUGAAAUUUUCCAGAUAGAAGGAACAGCAUGUGCAAAGGCCCUGAUGUGGGGGCAUCCUUGUCUACAGUGGGUCUAGAUUGACCAUUUGACAGAAUUGACCAGAUUCGAAAAGGGAUUUACUUAGAGUCAAGAAUAUAGUUUCAAAAUUAGAAGAAAAUUAAGUGCCUUAUUCCAUUUUAUUUGGGUUUUCAGUUUUUCCCAUUACAGCAAACAGAACAAGAUUUUGUCUUUUUUUUUUUUUUAGCUAGCUGAAUGUCUUUCAAUCCACUGAACAGUUCUCAUUUUUUAGAGCCUCUCUCAAAGCCAUCAUUACACACAGUUUUCAAAGGAUUGUUACCUAGAAGGGUGACAGACCAAGCUCAGAACACAAAGCCAAAGUCAAUGAUCUAAUCCUGUUUGGGAAAGGUCUGCUCCUUGCUGGGGUCAGCUGUUAUUCUGAUCUUGUUUUCAUGUUGGCAGUUUUCUUUUGCAGCUGCUCUCAUUGUGAGGAGUUAAGGGACAGCUUGUAGCAGACCAGGACUUUUAAAAAAAGAUUUUAAAAUGAAUAAUAGAGCUCUUUUCCUCUUAUGUCACUUAUUGAGCUUUGAAACUCAAGCCAGCUGAUUGGAGAUAAUCAUGGCCAGUGUUUGCAUGGUGCUUUGAUUUUUGAUAUUUUAAUAAGAUCUUAGAUGGCUUUCCAUAUAUUCUUUCUAGCUACCUUGUAUCACACAAGCACAACAAUGCCAGCUGCCAGGGAGACUCAUUAAAUUGACAUUUUAAAUAUUUCUGUAAAUUACUAGAACAUUUUAGCUUUAACUCCCGGAGGGUAAAAGGCUAGAAGAUUUUGUGCACAAGAGUAUCUGUCCUGUUCUCUAAAGAAAAUGGAACUCCAAACCCAUUCCUCUUAUUCUGUCUGCUCUCCUCGGUUAUAAAGCUGCAGGAAGAGCCAUCAUUUAAUCACUUUUUUUUUUCUGUAUGCUUAGGAUAAAGAGGCACAGUAGAAUUAUAGCUAAGAGCAAAGACUUUGAAUUCUGACAGGGCUGGCUUUGAAUUCCCAACUUCUCUAUUUCCUUUGCAUAUGAUCAUAAGCAAACUCUCCCACCUCUAUGAGUCUCUUUUUUUGUUGUUUUUGUUUGUUUGUUUUGAGAUAGGGUCUCACUCUGUUGCCCAGGCUGGAGUGCAGUGGCACAAUCUCGACUCAUUGCAACCUCUGCCUGCGGGUUCAAGCAAUUCUCCCACCUCAGCCUCUUGAGUAGCUGGGAUUACAGGCAUGUGCCACCAUACGCAGCUAAUUUUUUGUAUUUUUAGUAGAGACGGGGUUUUACCAUGUUGGCCAGGCUGGUCUCGAACUCCUGGACCAAAAAUGAUCCACCCACUUUGGCCUCCCACACUGCUGGGAUCACAGGCAUGAGCCACCACACCCAGCCUAUGAGCCUCUUCUUUAUCUGUCAACCUGGGUAAUAUCUGCCUCAAGACCGUUGUCAUAAGGAUUGAAGGAGAUAAUAGAAGUACAGUUGUUAGCACGGUGCCAGGAAUAGGUCAGUGUACAAAGAAUACAGUACGUCAUUAUGACUGAAUUAUUAAUUUGACAGCCACAAAACAAAUUCAUGUGACACAUUUACUUAUUUGACUGCUUCUGUGGUAUGUCUGAGGUGAGUAUAGGUGCGACAUUCCAGAGAAGGAGAGCUGGCGCAAGGACAGUGCUCCAGAAAAAACAGUAAUAGUUUCAACUGACCACAGGCUCAAUAUGGAACAACACUGGGAUGACAUUGUUAAUGUAAUUUAAGGCCACAUUAAUUGAGUGUCCAAAAUAAAGGAGGAAAUGGCCCCAUUGGGUGCUAUUCACACCUUA